rnacentral:rRNA from 1 species
GGAUCUCUUGGUUCUGGCAUCGAUGAAGAACGCAGCGAAUGCGAUAAGUAGUGUGAAUUGCAGAAUUCAGUGAAUCAUCGAAUCUUUGAACGCACAUUGCGCCCCUUGGUAUCCCGAGGGGCAUGCCUGUUCGAGCGUCA